ensembl:lncRNA
UUUUCUAGGGUUGCACCCACAGCAUAUGGAGGUUCCCAGGCUAGGGAUCUAAUCAGAGCUAGCGCUGCUGGCCUUCGCCAGAGCCGCAGCAAUGUGGGAUCCAAGCCUCGUCUGCAACCCACACCACAGCUCAGAGCAAGGCCGGAUCCUUAACCCACUGAAUGAGGCCAGUGGUUGAACGAGCAACCUUAUGGUUCCUAGUCGGAUUUGUUAAUCGCUGAGUCAUGACGAGAACUCCUAGGCCUGAUUUUUGAAUAUGUACAAAAAUAUCAAGCUUGUUUCCUGUGCAUUAUGAAGACUUCCGUGAAUAUUCAUUAAUAUGUCAACUUUGUUAUGGUCUUUCUUCUUAUAUACCUCUAUACUUAAAAAUAUAAUAUGAAUGUUGAUCUUUGAAAUUUUGCAAAUUGUUGCUGACUUAUGAAAGCAUUCUCAAAUAGAAAAACAUAACUGUUGUGUUAAUACUUCCUGCCCUAGAAGGAAAUGUUGUGCUUGGCAUCUGAUGUUCCUAACCAGUGUAGAAUUGCCCUGUCAAACUAAACAAAAACUGUAUUUUAGUCUUCUCCUAUGUAUUUGAAGGAAUAAUAAAUCUGUUACUUUGCUGUAUUUCUUGUUUUCACCAAAAAAUAAAAAUAAAUAAAGCUCUGUUUUGUGUAGGCUUAGAAAGAAAGAAAGGAGGAAGGGAGGGGGAAAGGAAGAAAAAAACUGGGAGGAUUCAGAAGAUUACUGAGAAUAUUAUAAGGGGAAGAAAAAUGCUCAAAAAAGAACUGAGCAGUUUGGGAGUUCCCUAGUAGCCCAGUGGGUUAAGAAUCCGGUGUUCUCACUGCUGUGGCUCAGGUCACAGCUGUGGUACAGGUUCAGUCCCUGAUGCUGGAACUUCCACAUGCCAGGCAGAAUCAAAAAAAGAAGGAGAAGAAGAAGAAGAGGAACAAUUGAGUAGUUUGACUAAAAACUAUGUGUACAAACACAGAACAUCAUGAUGAUGAUCAUCAUGAGCAUUAAUAACCAUCAUGUAUUAAAUAAUGUGUAUAUAGAAAAACUCUGAGCUAAAUGCCUAACAUUAUUUUAUUUAAUCCUUAAUACACCUCUUCCAGGUUUGUGAUGUUAACACACUUUAUAAUGGGAAAACUGAAGUUUAUGGAGGUGAAGCCACAUAUAAGGAAAAAAAACCCUAGGUCUAACCAAAGAAACAGCAGUUCUAGCCACACAUGUUUCAAGAUAAGUAAAUUCCAAUUACCACAGUUAAAUGAUACCAGUUCCCUAAGAAUGCAGUUCAAAUUUCAUGAUUGGUCCCCUCACAGCUGUUAUUUAGCUCAUACACAAACAGCAAAGAGGUAGUUGUGUUGCCUCCUUAUCUCCCAGAGAUAAACCCUUGUGGACACAUUAUAAAAAUGGAUUUUUGAGGAGUUCCCUGGUGGCCUAGCAGUUAAGAAUCCAGCAUUGUCAUUGCCGUGACUCAGGUCACCGAUGUAGUAUGGGUUUGGACCAUUGUGCCUCUGAGCUACAACACGAACUCCAAAAAAAAAUGGAUUUUUGAAAGAGAGAACAGACCAAUAAAGAUGAGUAUAGCAAAGAAAUAAAAACUGGCAACAUUGAAAGUAAAAUUCAAAUAAAAUAUAAAAGGAGAUAUAAAAGAAAUAGCUGACUGUGGGAAGGCUGACACAUCCAUAUUCAAGAAAUGCAGUCAGAAGAACUUAGUGAGGAUGAGCUCAUGGGAAUUCCCAUAAUGGCGCAACAGAAACGAAUCUGACUAGGAAUCAUGAGGUUGUGGGUUCGAUCCCUGGCCUCGCUCAGUAGGUUAAGGAUCCGGCGUUGCCAUGAGCUUUGGUAUAGGUUCCAGACACAGCUCGGAUCCGAUGCUGCUGUGGCUGUGGUAUAGGCUGGCAGCUGUAGCUCCCAUUGGACCCCUAGCCUGGGAAUCUUCAUAUACUGAGGGUGCGGCCUUAAAAAGCAAAAAGCAAAAAAAAAAAAAGAUGAACUUAUGGACAUGGAUGAAGAAAGCAGUUGUGACAAAAAGGUUGAAAAUGUUCCAGAGAAAGUAAUGCUGGUAAAAUUAUUAUUAUAGGAAUUCUCAGAGAUAUUUCACAAAACUAAAAGCAUAAAGGUUAAAAAGUUGGAAGCUGAGAAAUUGCCAAGACAUAGAAAAGAUGCUCACUCUACAUUGUAAAUUAUGUGAUGAGAAGAGGCAGCAAGCACUGUUGAAAUUACUUGGGAUAAGUUUUUUACAGAAAACUAAAACAAAUUCUCGAUGUUUCUAAAAUUUUAAACCACAAUGCACUAAAUAAAUACUAGUUUUAAUAUUUUCCAUCCUUUAUACAUUCAUAAUCAACAACAAGAGAGCUUUUAGUAUUUUGACAAAGAACUUGUAAAGGUCACAGAACAAUCAAAACUAUUGCAAUGAUCACACUGCAAGAUCUUUCAGCUUGCACUCAUUUCUACAGUACUAUGUUACCUACCACACAAAGCAAGGUGUUCCAUGUUAUAAUUUCCACUAUACUAUACUAUCUCAUUAAACAUAUAAAAAGUUUUAAAGUGGGAGAUUUGAAAAAAAUGUUAAGUU